GACGAACGCUGGCGGCGUGCUUAACACAUGCGAGUCGAACGGAAAGGCCCUGCUUGCCGGGUACUCGAGUGGCGAACGGGUGAGUAACACGUGGGUGAUCUGCCCUGCACUUCGGGAUAAGCUUGGGAAACUGGGUCUAAUACCGGAUAGGAGCCAUCUUUAGUGUGGUGGUUGGAAAGUUUUUUCGGUGUAGGAUGAGCUCGCGGCCUAUCAGCUUGUUGGUGGGGUAAUGGCCUACCAAGGCGGCGACGGGUAGCCGGCCUGAGAGGGUGUACGGCCACAUUGGGACGGAGAUACGGCCCAGACUCCUACGGGAGGCAGCAGUGGGGAAUAUUGCACAAUGGGCGCAAGCCUGAUGCAGCGACGCCGCGUGGGGGAUGAAGGCCUUCGGGUUGUAAACUCCUUUCGCUAGGGACGAAGCUUUGUUGUGACGGUACCUAGAUAAGAAGCACCGGCUAACUACGUG
rnacentral:rRNA from 1 species